GAUGAACGCUGACAGAAUGCUUAACACAUGCAAGUCAACUUGAAUUUGGGUUUUUAACUUAGGUUUGGGUGGCGGACGGGUGAGUAACGCGUAAAGAACUUGCCUCACAGCUAGGGACAACAUUUGGAAACGAAUGCUAAUACCUAAUAUUAUGAUAAUAGGGCAUCCUAUAAUUAUGAAAGCUAUAAGCGCUGUGAGAGAGCUUUGCGUCCCAUUAGCUAGUUGGAGAGGUAACGGCUCACCAAGGCGAUGAUGGGUAGCCGGCCUGAGAGGGUGAUCGGCCACAAGGGGACUGAGACACGGCCCUUACUCCUACGGGAGGCAGCAGUGGGGAAUAUGGGACAAUGGACCGAGAGUCUGAUCCAGCAAUUCUGUGUGCACGAUGAAGUUUUUCGGAAUGUAAAGUGCUUUCAGUUGGGAAGAAACAAAUGACGGUACCAACAGAAGAAGUGACGGCUAAAUACGUG
rnacentral:rRNA from 1 species